AUGCUUAAUUAAGCGGACAACGCUCCUUUCCUUAUGGGGGCCUGGUGUGCAAUGGCUGCAAACAGCAGCUUCGUUGGUAGUGUAUGCAGCCUGCUGCUUGUAUAGGUUGCUCUAAGGGACCUUGGAGACAUUC